AGCAGGGAACCAGCCCGGAUAUCCCCAGGAGGGGAGCGAUGCACAACCGGGGUACACUGUACAACCACAGAAAGGCCACAGCUACGACCACUCUGCAGUCAUCGUUACUCAGCCAGUAGCCUCCGCUCCAGUGGUGAACAGUGUGCCAGACAACAUGGGCUUGGCUGUCUUCACCACAUUCUUCUGCUGUUGGCUGAUCGGUCUUUUUGCCAUCAUGAAGGCAUCCGAGGCCCGCACAGCCCGAGCAACAGGGUCCGUUGAACUAGCUCAGACCCUAAGCCGGGAGUCUCGCCGCUUAUCCCUGAUUGGCAUCGGCGUUGGAUGCAUCGUAAUCGUCAUUACUAUCGUCAUUACUAUCAAUGGUAGUCAGCAGAGCUAAUAACUAGCUGUGCCAUUUGGACCAUGAGACGAAUCCCGCACAGCCUUAGAAUCAGGGGACAUCCAACGAGCUCAGACCUUAAGCCAGGAGUCUCGUCGCUUGUCCCUGUUUUCCAUCAUCGGUGGAAUUGUCUCAAUCGUCAUAUUCAUCAUCGCAGCUGUUUUCUCGAUCACCAAUAGAAGUAGUUACUACUACAAAAGUUACUGACGACGUCAGAGGUUUUCAGACCGGGAAUCAUGUUCCUGGAAUGAGCAUGUGGUUGCUGAGGAACCGGACAUAAGACUGUCGCACACCCGGCAGCUGGCGAAGAAAAACUUUUUUGCAAGACGCACACAUUUUUUUUACACCUUCCCAGCCUGAAAGAACUCAUGGGACCCUGGUGGGGAGAAAGUUGGUGCCCUCGAGGGUUUUUGAAGAGGGGCCCUUUUUUUCCCCACGAAAGCCCCACCAACCUUUCCACGAAAGCCCCAUAGCAUACCCACCAAUCGCCCAUGAACAUUGGUCGUUUCCCACGAAAGGCCCAACAAUUUCCCCACUCCCCCCCCCCUCUUGCUGCAUCCCUCACCCUAUCUCACACUUCUACCUACACUGGUACACAGGCUGGCACACCAUGAAGAAAACAUUCAACAGCUUUUUAAAAUCUCUUC